CUCUGUUUAUCCCUCUGUGUGUAUGUGUGUAUGUAUGUGUCUAUACAUAUACAUACACACGUACCCAUUC
rnacentral:miRNA from 1 species